GGGGAUGCUUGGUUUCGACAGGGAGUAAACGUCGUAGAUUGCAAGCCGUGUCGCCCAGUCACGUAAAAAGGGCAAAGGCAAUAACUGCCAACAACAACACUCGGGUUCAGGCUUCUCGUCUGGCCCUCGCUGCUUAAUUAAGUAGCGCGUCUGCUCUGACUCCCCCGAUGGUAAGAGGUCAGACGUCAACAAGUCGGGUGCUCCUCUGGUAACCACCUGCUAGCCUGAGGAAAAGAUUAGCGGGUUAGCCCAAAGGCCGCUCUGCCUAUCGUGCGGUCAAGGGCGAUACAAACGAUAGGAUAAGCUUGUAGUAUAUCUGCGAUUUAGCUUUCUGGACGGGGGUUCGACUCCCCCCAUCUCCACCA
rnacentral:tmRNA from 1 species